AUCGGUACGUGCCCAGUCGUGGGGGAUAACGUAGCGAAAGCUACGCUAAUACCGCAUACGUAUCUACGGAUGAAAGCGGGGGAUCGCAAGUACUCGCGCGAUUGGAGCGGCGAUGGCAGAUUAGGUAGUUGGUGAGGUAAAGGCUCACCAAGCCGACGAUCUGUAGCUGGUCUGAGAGGACGACCAGCCACACUGGGACUGAGUACACGGCCAGUACUCCUACGGGAGGCAGCAGUGGGGAAUUUUGGACAAUGGGCGCAAGCCUGAUCCAGCCAUUCCGCGUGCAGGAUGAAGGCCCUCGGGUUGUAAACUGCUUUUGUACGGAACGAAACGGUUCUCUCUAAUACAGGGGGCUAAUGACGGUACCGUAAGAAUAAGCACCGGCUAACUACGUGCCAGCAGCCGCGGUAAUACGUAGGGUGCAAGCGUUAAAUCGGAAUUACUGGGCGUAAAGCGUGCGCAGGCGGUUAUGUAAGACAGUCUGUGAAAUCCCCGGGCUCAACCUGGGAACUGCAUCUGUGGACUGCUUAAGCUAGAGUACGGCCAGACGGGGGGAUGGAAUUCCCGCGUGUAGCCAGCGAAACUUGCGUCAGAUAUGGC
rnacentral:rRNA from 1 species